rnacentral:tRNA from 1 species
GCGGCCAUGGUGUAGUCUGGUUAGCACAGGAGACUGUGGAUCUCCUAGGGCGGAUUCAAAUUCCGCUGGCCGCC